ACGGAGGAUCCAAGCGUUAUCCGGAUUUAUUGGGUUUAAAGGGUCCGCAGGCGGAUUACUAAGUCAGUGGUGAAAGGCUGUCGCUUAACGAUAGCACUGCCAUUGAUACUGGUAAUCUUGAGUAUAGUUGAGGUGGGCGGAAUAAGUCAUGUAGCGGUGAAAUGCAUAGAUAUGACUUAGAACACCGAUUGCGAAGGCAGCUCACUAAACUAUUACUGACGCUCAGGGACGAAAGCGUGGGGAGCGAACAGG
rnacentral:rRNA from 1 species